rnacentral:rRNA from 1 species
AUGGUCUAUGACGAGGGAUCCCCAGGAUCAACAUCGUCAAGGACAAGAACGCCUGAUGAUAAUGACUACCUGAUAGUGAUUCCUUAUGCCCACAUAUUUGACCUUAUGCUAAAAGCUUUAAAGUUGCCCCCUGCAACUUACCAUCACAAGAUAUGCUCAGGCGGCGAGAAUCAUGUGACAGUUACUUUCAUUUCUUCCUUGCAAUUACUAGAUGGUUUGCUUGUUCCAAGCUCAAUAUCGGGUGCAAUUUUAGAUGGCUAUGAAGAUGCAGAAGACAGUGCUGCUAUCGAAGCUAUUAGAUACAUGGAAAAUGCAUAUGGCAGAGAAAUGAGAGACUACCACUACACCCAUGUCAAGAGGCUAGAAAAUCAAGUGAAGCACCUGGUCACAUGGUUGGUUGGUUGCAGCGAAUGA